GGCGACGAUCUGUAGCUGGUCUGAGAGGACGACCAGCCACACUGGAACUGAGACACGGUCCAGACUCCUACGGGAGGCAGCAGUGGGGAAUUUUGGACAAUGGGCGCAAGCCUGAUCCAGCAAUGCCGCGUGCAGGAUGAAGGCCUUCGGGUUGUAAACUGCUUUUGUACGGAACGAAACGGUCGCCUCUAAUAAAGGUGGCUAAUGACGGUACCGUAAGAAUAAGCACCGGCUAACUACGUGCCAGCAGCCGCGGUAAUACGUAGGGUGCGAGCGUUAAUCGGAAUUACUGGGCGUAAAGCGUGCGCAGGCGGUUAUAUAAGACAGAUGUGAAAUCCCCGGGCUCAACCUGGGACCUGCAUUUGUGACUGUAUAGCUAGAGUACGGUAGAGGGGGAUGGAAUUCCGCGUGUAGCAGUGAAAUGCGUAGAUAUGCGGAGGAACACCGAUGGCGAAGGCAAUCCCCUGGACCUGUACUGACGCUCAUGCACGAAAGCGUGGGGAGCAAACAGGAUUAGAUACCCU
rnacentral:rRNA from 1 species